rnacentral:tRNA from 2 species
GGAGGGAUGGCCGAGUGGUUAAAGGCAUCAGACUGUAAAUCUGACCACGCAAGUGUACGUAGGUUCGAAUCCUACUCCCUCCACCA